CCGGUUCUGCUUGACUACAUGUGGAGGCAAAUUUACGAUGUAAUCAUUUUGUUUAUGCAGCUUUCUGCAAAGUAAUUCUAGUUGCGUUCUUUACUAACGUCACCCUAAAGACACAACUGUUAUUAAGCUUAGUUCGUGUCACAGAGAUGUAAAAUAUCACUUGAAAUUAGCUGUUGGUGUGAAUGUGCAAGUAUCGCUGCGUACAAUCAUGAAAUAAUAACUGAAGAAAGCAGACCUGUUUAUAGUGUUAUCCAGAGUAUGGAUAUUUACUACUAAUAUUUCACUCACAGUUUAUCCAUCACACAGUUACAAACUUGGUAUAGAGUUUCGACAGGGUAAAAGUUACUUAAAACAGUAAAACUCGUUCACAUCCUUUCUCUUGUCCAUAAAGGCAAAAGACAGACAUUCAGAGGCCUUUCAAGUUUCCAUAGCCAAAGGAUCCUGGAGGAGAACAAUAUAUUUCUCCCAGCUGGACGUGGUAUCUGCUACCAGUACUAUUUAAAGUUACCAGAGUAAACAUUAAGUUAUGGAGAAGGUGAUAUACAAGAUUUUCCCGAAAAACUACAUAAUGAGCUACUUAAAAGAGACAUAGAGCUGUCAGAGUCACAUAUAAUGUCUUGGCGGCACAUGUUAUUAGAUGUUUUAACCGAAACCGAGGAGGUACUACCCUUUUGGAUGAAUUAAAGUCUGGAGAAGUUUUGAUCAUUAUCGACUGGGCCAUGAAGUUUUUGCCCUAAUCCUUCAGGGAAAAGCAAUGAAAGUGGUUUGGUUAGAAGGGACUGAACUGGCAUGUGUGUGUCUGCAUCUUCAAAGAUAAUGACUUUUAUUUGAUUAUUUGGAAUAAAAUAAAUUUUCAUAGAAUUAUAGAGA